GAGCUGUGAGUGUGUCGGUAGGUAGGUGCUCUCCUCAGGCUCCUAUAGGUGUGAGCUGUGAGUGUCUCGGUAGAUAGGUGCUCUCCUCAGGCUGCUAUAGGUGUGUGUGUGUCGGUAGGUAGGUGCUCUCCUCAGGCUCCUAUAGGUGUGAGCUGUGAGUGUCUCGGUAGAUGGGUGCUCUCCUCAGGCUGCUAUAGGUGUGU